AUUUAUAUAGUUUAAUAAAAACAUUACAUUUUCAUUGUAAAAUUAAAUAAAUUUAUUUUAUAAAUU
rnacentral:tRNA from 1 species